rnacentral:lncRNA from 1 species
GAAGUCGGAGUCGCCCUCGCGGAGGCGUGAUGACGAUGACGCCGGAUUACAACCUCGACGGAGUUCUUCCCUUAGGCGGCGUGCGUGCAUUCUUGUGAAGGUUGCCAGGUCGCCCUGUGUGUCCUGUUGUGGCGGGCGCAUUGUGACGGUUUUAGCCCGGUUUUCCGAUUAUUAACCGGGCAACUCUCUUCGACCUUUUUUAAUGACAUCGGUACCUAAGGGACCG